rnacentral:rRNA from 1 species
CUCUUCUUGAUAUAAUGAGAAGUAUAACCUGCCCAAUGAAGAAGAUUUAAUGGCCGCGGUAUAUUGACCGUGCAAAGGUAGCAUAAUCAUUAGUCUUUUAAUUGAAGGCUGGAAUGAAUGGUUGGACGAGAUAAUAACUAUCUUAAUUUUAUUAAUUUGAAUUUAAUUUUUGAGUUAAAAAGCUUAAAUAUAUUUUUGGGACGAGAAGACCCUAUAGAGUUUAUAUAAUUCUUAUAAUUUAUUAUGUUUGUAAAUUUAAUUUAAUUAUAUUAAUUAUUUUGUUGGGGUGAUGGAAAGAUAAAUUUAACUCUUUUUAUUUAUUUAUUUAUUAAUUUAUAUUUKAUUUGAUCC